rnacentral:tRNA from 4 species
CGGGGAGUGGCGCAGCCAGGUAGCGCACUUGUUUUGGGUACAAGGGGUCGGAGGUUCGAAUCCUCUCUCCCCGACCA